rnacentral:rRNA from 8 species
AAAUUGAAGAGUUUGAUCAUGGCUCAGAUUGAACGCUGGCGGCAGGCCUAACACAUGCAAGUCGAACGGUAACAGGAAGCAGCUUGCUGCUUUGCUGACGAGUGGCGGACGGGUGAGUAAUGUCUGGGAAACUGCCUGAUGGAGGGGGAUAACUACUGGAAACGGUGGCUAAUACCGCAUAACGUCGCAAGAC